rnacentral:rRNA from 1 species
GCAUAUCAAUAAGCGGAGGAAAAGAAACCAACAGGGAUUGCCUCAGUAACGGCGAGUGAAGCGGCAAAAGCUCAAAUUUGAAAUCUGGCCUCGGUCCGAAUUGUAAUUUGUAGAGGAUGUUUCGAACGUGGUCUGGUCUAAGUUCCUUGGAACAGGACGUCAUAGAGGGUGAGAAUCCCGUACGUGCCCAGGUGCCAUUGUUCAUGUGAAACUCCUUCGACGAGUCGAGUUGUUUGGGAAUGCAGCUCAAAAUGGGUGGUAAAUUUCAUCUAAAGCUAAAUACUGGCCAGAGACCGAUAGCGCACAAGUAGAGUGAUCGAAAGAUGAAAAGCACUUUGGAAAGAGAGUUAAACAGUACGUGAAAUUGUUGAAAGGGAAGCGCUUGCAAUCAGACUUGCAUGCGGUCGAUCAUCCGAUGUUCUCACCGGUGCACUCGAUCGUAUUCAGGCCAGCAUCGGUUUUGGUGGUUGGAUAAAGGCCUCAGGAACGUGGCUCCUCUCGGGGAGUGUUAUAGCCUGAGGUGCAAUGCAGCCUACUGGGACCGAGGACCGCGCUUCGGCUAGGAUGCUGGCGUAAUGGUUGUAAGCGACCCGUCUUGAAACACGGACCAAGGAGUCUAACAUCUAUGCGAGUGUUUGGGUGCUAAACCCAUACGCGUAAUGAAAGUGAACGGAGGUGAGAACCCUUAAGGGUGCAUCAUCGACCGAUCCUGAAGUCUUCGGAUGGAUUUGAGUAAGAGCAUAGCUGUUGGGACCCGAAAGAUGGUGAACUAUGCCUGAAUAGGGUGAAGCCAGAGGAAACUCUGGUGGAGGCUCGCAGCGGUUCUGACGUGCAAAUCGAUCGUCAAAUUUGGGUAUAGGGGCGAAAGACUAAUCGAACCAUCUAGUAGCUGGUUUCUGCCG